rnacentral:misc_RNA from 1 species
AUAUUUAAAGUGAUUACUUUGGGCCAAUAGGUGUCUACAAUAGCCCUCUAACCAAUGGAGAAGAAUUCAUUUCUCUUGAAUUUUAUGCCCAUUUUCCAUCCAAGGCCAAAGUUUCUUUCCCUCCAUUGGACUGCAAUGGGCAAGAAUUCUGUUGUGCAAAAUCUCGCAAUUGCAUAGAUGGUGACAAAUAAUAGAGUAGUGAGUAGAGUAUUGUUCCACGAGGAUCGUGUUCGAGUACCAAUUUACACAGUAAUUAUAAUUAUCUAGACUAUCAAAUUCGAAGGAAAAUUAUAAACUAAACUAAUUAUGGCUAAAAGGUAAAUGAUAGCAGAUUAACUAAACUAAAAAUAUCAAUAAGUAAAAGCAUUUCAGAGUCAGGGAUUCACACUUCAAUCAAUCACAAACAUAAACUAACUUGUUCAACAAUUGGGAGAUUGUUGCUUUGAAGGAAAUUAAUCCUGAGUUAUCUUAAGUCCUCCCUGAUCAAUGGCUAAGGCCAGUAUUUAGUAAUUGGCAAAACCUUUCUUUACAAUGGCGCAUAGUUAUUAAAGGCUAAAUGUGCACUAAGGCGCUAAAAUGUUCUGGAGCCUAGGUGCAAGGCUCAGGUGCGCUCGAGCGAGGCAAGGUGCAAAAAUAAAAAAAAAUUAUUAAAAAUUAA